rnacentral:sRNA from 1 species
AUGAAAUCAACAAACCUUAGUUAAUAAACAUCUUAGUUAAGAUGUUUUCUUAAAACUAAGAAGAGUAUAUGUGUUGUGAUUUGAGUGGAUACACAUUGUUUUGAAAUAAUUUGAAUCUUUGUUUCUUAAGAACUCAAUAGUUCUUAACCAUUAGAGUAGAAAUUAGUUAAGUU